UAACCUGCCCAAGAGAUCGGGAUAACACCUGGAAACAGAUGCUAAUACCGGAUAACAACAGAUGAUGCCUAUCAACUGUUUAAAAGAUGGUUCUGCUAUCACUCUUGGAUGGGCCUGCGGUGCAUUAGCUAGUUGGUAGGGUAACGGCCUACCAAGGCGAUGAUGCAUAGCCGAGUUGAGAGACUGAUCGGCCACAUUGGGACUGAGACACGGCCCAAACUCCUACGGGAGGCAGCAGAC
rnacentral:rRNA from 1 species